rnacentral:lncRNA from 1 species
CUCAGAGGCCACGUGCUGAAGAUGGCAGAGCUAAAAGAUGGAAGAAGCCUGCAUCCCUGAGGUACUUCAUGAAAGGAUCCAACCAACAGAGCUGCCCAGGACUUUACAUGAUCUUCAUCAUUAAGAAUGCUUCAGCUGAAGAUUUUGAAGAUCUUACUGAUGCACUGUGUUUCCCAGGACCAUCUUCCAAAUAAAUUAUUUGCACUUCAAACUUUUCUUCUGGGGUAAACUGAACUAGAAACACGAAGAUUCCUAGAGCUCCAGGUUUGUUCUUUCCUAUAUUAAGAAGAAUGGAAGGCUGAAGAAGACUCCCUUAUCCCUUGGAGAUAGAUGGUACCUUAGGCAUCUGCUAUUCAUGGAAACGUUACAUGCCACAAGCAUAAUGACGACAUGUACAAAGGCCCCUCUGUGACCCCAGGAAAUCAACAGUGCCAAGACUAUUUAAUAACUAUUAAAGUUUUAAAGGACCUUCGAGGGUAAAAAAAGACACAUUGAUGUUACCUAAUGUUUUCUAAAGAAUAUAAAUCUCAUUAUGAGAAAACAAGGGGAAAGAAUAUAACUUUACUGUGUACUAAGGUCAAUGCAACAAAAGGCACCUGAUUUUUUUUUCUCUGAAAAGAAUUGCUUAUAUGCUUCUUAUUUAAUAAUAAACAGAACUUUCAC